AUGAUAUUGGCUCAGUUGGUUGGAGCAUGGUGUUAAAAACACCAAAGUCACAGGCUCAACCCCCAUAUGAUAUG